GACGAACGCUGGCGGCGUGCCUAAUACAUGCAAGUAGAACGCAGUUGCGAACGGGUGAGUAACGCGUAGGUAACUGCCUCAUAGCGGGGGAUAACUAUUGGAAACGAUAGCUAAUACCGCAUACUGUGAGAUGGACCUGCGUUGUAUUAGCUAGUUGGGGAGGUAAAGGGGAACCAAGGCGGCGAUACAUAGCCGACCUGAGAGGGGUAUCGGCCACACUUGGACUUAGGAACGGCCCAGACUCCGACGGGAGGCAGCCGGAGGGAAUAUUCGGAAAUUGACGGAAGUCUGACCGAGCAACUGCGCGUGAGUGGAGGAGGUGUUCGGGUCGGAAAGCUCUGUUGUGCGGGGAGCGGUAACUAUCCAGAAAGGGACGGCUAACUACGUGCCAGCAGCCGCGGUAAUUC
rnacentral:rRNA from 1 species